rnacentral:lncRNA from 1 species
AUGUUUGGGGUAAGGAGCAGAAACGUGAGAGAUCCCAACACAACAAGAAAACUUUUCCUUUCUUAGUUUGAAAGGUUAGGAGCUAAGGAAAACGUUAGAAGACUUCUUUCCAAGCAAAUUUCGUUCAAAUUCAGAAACAUAAGCUUCAUUCUCUCGUUUCAACAUAUUUCACGGAAGCAGAAGCUUCACUUCGAUCAAAUAAUUUAAGGAACAAGUAUGUUAAGGCCCUCCCUUCUUUCUUUUGGCAUAGUCUAAAUUAUACUGAAGAAAUAAGCAAUCACAUAGUUUCUAUAAAUUACUCUAUUCAUAGAAAUAGUAGGGGUGUCUAUAUUCUUGAUUCCCCAUGAAAAAUAUUAUUGUCUUCUCUUCAUAGGUCUCAGAAUAAUACAUAAUUGAAAAAGUUUAUCCGGAAGGAAUAUUGCGAUUAUUACGUAUUUUUCAUGCAUUUGACUCAUUUAUACAUGUGCAUUGACCCAUGACCGAAUGACAUUGUAUAUGCGUAUAUAUGUAAAUAUAUGUAUAUGGGAUAUGGAAAAAGGUUAUGGCGUUAUAUACGCACCACCACCUGAUAUGGUAUAUGUUGAUGAUGUUGCCCACAGUGGUUGAGAUGAUAUGAUGGGAUGCCCUCAGUGGCUUGAUGAUAUUAUGUACACCCAUACCUAUGCAUGGCAUGACAUUUAUACGCACGUGCAUGACAUUAUAAAGGUUUUAGAAUUUACAAAGUUAUUCAGAUUUAAAGAUGUGUUUCCUUAUUCCAUGUUUCAUUUAUAUUUUUUACGUACUAAUUUUCAUGCCUUACAUAUUCAGUACAUUUUUCGUACUGACGCCCUAUUUCAUGGGGCCUGCGUUUAUGCCUGCAGGUGUAGGUAGGCAAGCUGACGGUCCCCCUUCUUAGGAUCCCUGAUCAUCGAGAGUUGGCAUGCUCCACUUGAUCUGGCGCUGCUUUUGAUUUUAGUAUGAUACGUUUGAAUAUACAUAUGUCUAUGGGUAUGACGUGACUCAGUCCCGUCUUUGUACAGUUAUGUUUCUAUUAGAGGUCUGUGGACAAUAUGUCUAGUUGGGCUGUAUGUGGCCUUGUCGGCCUUCAGUUUUGAAUGUAUAGUUGUCUAUAGCAGCCUUGCCAGCUCACCCACUGUAUCCUUCAUGUAUGCGUACAUCUGCCUUAUUGGCAUGUUUCUUUUAUAUAUGUUAUUUUCGUAAUUCAG